rnacentral:rRNA from 1 species
GAUGAACGCUGGCGGCGUGCCUAAUACAUGCAAGUCGAGCGAACAGACGAGGAGCUUGCUUCUCUGACGUUAGCGGCGGACGGGUGAGUAACACGUGGAUAACCUACCUAUAAUACUGGGAUAACUUCGGGAAACCGGAGCUAAUACCGGAUAAUAUAUUGAACCGCAUGGUUCAAUAGUGAAAGACGGUUUUGCUGUCACUUAUAGAUGGAUCCGCGCCGCAUUAGCUAGUUGGUAAGGUAACGGCUUACCAAGGCAACGAUGCGUAGCCGACCUGAGAGGGUGAUCGGCCACACUGGAGCUGAGACACGGUCCAGACUCCUACGGGAGGCAGCAGUAGCGAAUCUUCCGAAAUGGGCGAAAGCCUGACGGAGCAACGCAGCGUGAGUGAUGAAGGUCUUCGGAUCGUAAAACUCUGUUAUUAGGGAAGAACAAAUGUGUAAGUAACUAUGCACGUCUGGACGGUACCUAUUCAGAAAGCCACGGCUAACUACGU